rnacentral:lncRNA from 1 species
UUUCUUAAAUUGGCCACUGACUGGACCCAGAUUAAAUUUCAGUAUCUAAAAAUUAAAGUUUUUAAUUAUACGAUCCAUAUCGGUAGUUCCAACUCGUAGUAUCACUUUUUGAGCAUUUUUGCAACGGUUGAAAAAAACCCAGCUGCGCUAUUCGGCCUUCGUAUAUGUACAACGACUACUUGUCAAUUCUAAGUGAUUUUCACAAACGAUAUAGGGAUAGAAACUACUUCCUGUCGCUUGCUACAGGUUAAGCAUCACCUAAACAAACACCGUUAUUAAUAUGGAGUAUGUAUGUAUAGACAGAUGACAAUCUACUACCUGUUUCUUAACUCUUUAACAGAAUUCUUUUCAAGUUAUCACCCUUUUUGCUUAACUGAUCUUGGAGUGCAUGUUAUAAGGAGUAUAUACUGCAGGUUAAAUAAUAGAGGAGGCAGCUUUGACAGGCAAAGAUGCGCUAUCUACCGUCAUGGGCAGGGAAAAAUAGGAACAUUUCGAACCCUGUGUACACAAUUUACUAAUAUAUGUUAUUAACAAGAUUUGUAUGGACUUGUAUGAUUUCAUCUUGUCUAUUUUGGUCUUUCGUUUUGUGUGAUUUCGUCUUGGUAUUCUGGUCAAAAUAAUCUCAAUUGUGAUUAAAUGAAUACUUGUAAAAGCGGCAAAUUGUGUAGUUUUUAAAGCUAAAAUAUUUGAAGACGGCUUAAUGCCAAAAGCCCCUUUAUUUAUUCACAAAGAGUAUUACAAUAUACACACUGCAAUAUAUAAACUUCUGCACAGUCAUACAGAUUAAACAUUCAAUAUUGGCAGACGCGGUUGUUUGAAAAGUUUCAAUCUAAUUUAUACGUGGUACCAGGACUAAGUUUCACUUGUUCUAUUAUUCUUUGGC